UACAGAGACUGCAAGCGUUAUUCGGAUUCAUUGGGCGUAAAGGGUGCGUAGGCGGCGCGGUAAGUCGGGUGUGAAAUCUCGGGGCUUAACUCGGAAAGGUCAACUGAUACUGUGCGACUAGAGUGCAGAAGGGGCAACUGGAAUUCUCGGUGUAGCGGUGAAAUGCGUAGAUAUCGAGAGGAACACCAGUGGCGAAGGCGAGUCUCUGGACACUUCCUGACGCUGAGGCACGAAAGCCAGGGGAGCAAACGGG
rnacentral:rRNA from 1 species